AAACUUUCAACAACGGAUCUCUUGGUUCUGGCAUCGAUGAAGAACGCAGCGAAAUGCGAUAAGUAAUGUGAAUUGCAAGAAUCAGUGAAUCAUCGAAUCUUUGAACGCACAUUGCGCCCUCUGGUAUUCCGGGGGGCAUGCCUGUUCGAGCGUCAUU
rnacentral:rRNA from 1 species